AACUUUUACGACUGAAACUAUCCGACUGACGCGUAGAGACUCUAAGUACCUACGGCAUACAUAUACAUACAGUGUUAUCAGUGCAGUGAGAAUCUUGUCCAUACGAGAAGUACGUUGCGCUUUUAAAUAAUGUAAAAUUGAAGAACGUAUUGCCAAUAAUUGAUCAAUAAAUCGAAUAUAAUAGUUAUAUAAUCUACGUAAAGUAAUCUAUAUAACAUUUUAUAUUUCUUUAUUACUUGUAAUAUUAUGUUAUCUAUGUUAUCUAUAGAUAAUAUCUUCUAUUUCAAGAAAUAUAAAAUUAUUUCGAUAU